UGGAAGUCUCACCAGAGGGAAGGAUGCUCCACCCAGACCUCUGAAUCAGAACUGCAGUCCACCUGUCCUCAUGGGGCUUCCCCAGCUAAAGAGAGACCAAACACUGCUUCUUAUGGUCAGCACUGAAAUUUUUCCUUUGGAGAAAAAAACAAAAGCAAAGGCGGGAAAGAAGAAAGAGAUGAAGAACGAUGGCCCAGCGUGGAAAAAGAGCAACAUGAGGUUGGUGGGUUGGUGGUAAGAAGAGAUGAAGCCCACCUAUCUCUCAGAUGAGGAGAUGAGGACUUGAUAGCUCAACACUGACAUACCUAGUUAUCAAGAAGACAGUUCACAUAGUUUUGAUAUUUUCUGAAACAAAUAAAGAUGACCAGAGGCCCUU
rnacentral:lncRNA from 12 species